rnacentral:rRNA from 1 species
UACGAAGGGGGCUAGCGUUGCUCGGAAUGACUGGGCGUAAAGGGCGCGUAGGCGGCUUACAUCGUCAGAUGUGAAAUUCCUGGGCUUAACCUGGGGGCUGCAUUUGAUACGUGUGGGCUUGAGUGGGGAAGAGGGUCGUGGAAUUCCCAGUGUAGAGGUGAAAUUCGUAGAUAUUGGGAAGAACACCGGUGGCGAAGGCGGCGACCUGGUCCUUGACUGACGCUGAGGCGCGAAAGCGUGGGGAGCAAACAGG